ACUGGAGAGCGAUUGCUUUAGGCAAUCCACCGAAGGGGCAAGCGGCAAACUGCUGCGUAAACUCUCAGGUACACAGGACAGAGGGAG
rnacentral:ncRNA from 1 species